AAAUAUUCAGAAUUUUCCAAAGAUGAACAAAAGAAAAAUCAGGAAGAUAAAAAGCAAUUAGAAAAAGAAAACAAGGACGAGCAUGUAACUCUAGAUGGAAACAACUAUUCAGAAUAUCUCGAAGAGGAACACAUGGACAACUUAAUAUACUCAAACAAAUGAAAACAAGAAAACAAUUAGAAAAGAAACCAAACAAGAUUAAAAGCAAUAAAGCAGACAAACGAAGAGAAAGCUUUUCUUUCCUUGUAGCCCUAGAAUUAGAUUCUUCAAAUCUCACGGUCCUUUAACCUCUUCAGAGAGGUUCUUUGGCCUUCUGAGGCCUUUGCCUUACUAUUGGAGAGGGGGAAAGGGUUCCAGGCGAGGGUCGAUUGGUUUUGAGACAGGGUCUAAGUUUCAAAUCUGAUUUUGGUCAUGUCUAGUUGUAUCUGAGGGUCGUUGGUCGUGGGGUUGUGGAUGGGGAAGGUGAGAUGGUCACCAGGGACUGAUUUUUAGAGGUUCCGGUAAGUUUAGGGUUUGGGUCAAAUUUUGAUUUGAUAUUCGAUGAGUUCAGGGAGGAUUCGAGGGACGGGAUUUAGAUGGUUGGGAAGAGGGGAAAGAGGCGGUUUAGGGGUGUUAUUUUGGGUCGGUUUGGGGUUAGUUCCAUUGGUGGUGGCGGAGGCGGCGACUAUUCUGUCGAAUAUUCGACGAGCUGGGGAGGUAUUUGAGGGAAUCUAAUGGUGGGAGGGGAAAGGGGAGGUUGAGAGGGUCCGGUGGUGUAAAUUUGGGAUCAUUUGGUGGUCGGCCUUCGCCGUGAGGCAAUUUCUGGCGGCGGGGUUAUGGUGGUUGAGGGGUGGUAGACGACGGAUCUAUGGUGGCUAAAGGAUGGUGUUACACCGGUGUAUAGGUACAAGGAAGGAAACUGUU
rnacentral:lncRNA from 1 species